rnacentral:rRNA from 1 species
GACGAACGCUGGCGGCGUGCCUAAUACAUGCAAGUCGAGCGCAGGAAGCCGUCUGAACCCUUCGGGGGGACGACGGUGGAAUGAGCGGCGGACGGGGGAGAAACAGGAAAAGAACCGGCCCAUAGGCCGGGGAUAACCAGGAGAAACGGGGGCAAAAACCGGUGGGUUCAUCGGACCCCUUGGUCCGCGGAGGAAAGGCGCCCCGGGUCCGCCCAGGGAGGGUUUUGCGGGGAAUUAGCUAGUUGGGGGGGUAACGGCCCACCAAGGGGACGGUGCAUAGCCGACCUGAGAGGGUGAUCGGCCACACUGGGACUGAGACACGGCCCAGACUCCUACGGGAGGCAGCAGUAGGGAAUCUUCCACAAUGGACGAAAGUCUGAUGGAGCAACGCCGCGUGAACGAUGAAGGCUUUCGGGUCGUAAAGUUCUGUUGUAAGGGAAGAACAAGUGCCGCAGGCAAUGGCGGCACCUUGACGGUACCUUGCGAGAAAGCCACGGCUAACUACGUGCCAGCAGCCGCGGUAA